rnacentral:lncRNA from 1 species
UAAAAUUCAGACUUUUAGUAUGACAUAAUGACAAAAAAUUCUAUCCUGUGAUACUCCUUUUGGCAGGGCUAACUUUAGAUCACUGAAUAGAUUCCUACUCAAGCAGAGACUUCCAGAGGGAACGAAUGAAAUAAUUAGUGUGGAAUAGUUCUAGGGGAUAAACCUUAGGUCCUCGUAAUAUAGGAAAAUAUAAAAUAGUACUAGUGCAAGACUAAAAUUAACUUAAGCUGUAGACUUCAAAGUUGAGCAAAAUGUCAAUAAUAAUCUUGAUGAAAAUUCAAAACCAUAGAUCUGAUAACAAGUUUUCUUUCUAGAAAAGAGAGAAUUACAUAGCUAAAUCAAAAAGAUCAUGUAUAUCUAAUGAACUCAGUUCCUCAAUCAUCAGUAUGAGGAUUAAGUCUUCACUUCUUCUUUUCAGCACCGCCGGUGGCCCUGCAAAAGGCCAAGAACAUAAAAUGAACCCAGUUCCUCAAUCAUCAAAAUGAGUAUUAAGUCUUCACUUCUUCUUUUCAGCACCUCCGGUGGCCCUGCAAAAGGCAAAGAACAUAAUGAAAUAUUAGUCAAGGGUUUUGCAUACUCUUCUCCUGGAAUCGUAAUAACAUUAUGACAGAUUACUCUAGAAACCCAAUGAUCACAAGGCAUUACCUCAUCUUACGGAGAACGCUUGACAUCUCCUCUCUCUUCUUCUUUGCUCUCUUGUGAGUACCCAACUUCCUCUUGGCUACCUUCAAUGCACGCUU